AACGCGAAGAACCUUACCUACCCUUGACAUGGUCGGAAUUCUGCUGAGAGGCGGAAGUGCUCGAAAGAGAACCGACACACAGGUGCUGCAUGGCUGUCGUCAGCUCGUGUCGUGAGAUGUUGGGUUAAGUCCCGCAACGAGCGCAACCCUUGUCAUUAGUUGCUACGAAAGGGCACUCUAAUGAGACUGCCGGUGACAAACCGGAGGAAGGUGGGGAUGACGUCAAGUCCUCAUGGCCCUUAUGGGUAGGGCUUCACACGUCAUACAAUGGUACAUACAGAGGGCCGCCAACCCGCGAGGGGGAGCUAAUCCCAGAAAGUGUAUCGUAGUCCGGAUUGUAGUCUGCAACUCGACUACAUGAAGUUGGAAUCGCUAGUAAUCGCGGAUCAGCAUGUCGCGGUGAAUACGUUCCCGGGCCUUGUACACACCGGAGUA
rnacentral:rRNA from 1 species